rfam:Aedes aegypti strain Liverpool supercont1.213 genomic scaffold, whole genome shotgun sequence.
CCAUCGGUUCUUUUCAGAGCCACCAAAUUUGUGGAAAAGAGUUGAA